CUGGGUGGAGCAGGUGGGGAUAUGGG
rnacentral:piRNA from 1 species